UGGUAAUGAUCAAAGAGACACCUUGUUGGUGGUAUCAUUCUCCUAUCUGUCAUGGCUGUCCUUUGUUCAUCCUAGCUUGAUGCCUGGCUUGGUGGCCAAAGUUGUUCCAUGCCUAUGGCACAUUU
ensembl:snoRNA